AUUGAACGCUGGCGGCAUGCCUUACACAUGCCAGUCGAACGGUAACAGGUCUUCGGAUGCUGACGAGUGGCGCACGGGUGAGUAAUACAUCGGAACGUGCCCGAUCGUGGGGGAUAACGAGGCGAAAGCUUUGCUAAUACCGCAUACGAUCUACGGAUGAAAGCGGGGGAUCUUCGGACCUCGCGCGGACGGAGCGGCCGAUGGCAGAUUAGGUAGUUGGUGGGAUAAAAGCUUACCAAGCCGACGAUCUGUAGCUGGUCUGAGAGGAUGAUCAGCCACACUGGGACUGAGACACGGCCCAGACUCCUACGGGAGGCAGCAGUGGGGAAUUUUGGACAAUGGGCGAAAGCCUGAUCCAGCCAUGCCGCGUGCAGGAUGAAGGCCUUCGGGUUGUAAACUGCUUUUGUACGGAACGAAAAGCCUCUUUCUAAUAAAGAGGGGUCAUGACGGUACCGUAAGAAUAAGCACCGGCUAACUACGUG
rnacentral:rRNA from 1 species